rnacentral:rRNA from 1 species
UACGAAGGGGGCUAGCGUUGCUCGGAAUUACUGGGCGUAAAGGGCGCGUAGGCGGCUUAGUUAGUCAGGCGUGAAAUUCCUGGGCUCAACCUGGGGACUGCGCUUGAUACGGCUAGGCUAGAGGAUGGAAGAGGGUCGCGGAAUUCCCAGUGUAGAGGUGAAAUUCGUAGAUAUUGGGAAGAACACCAGUGGCGAAGGCGGCUCACUGGAUGCUGGUAUUGACGCUGGAGGUG